CAAUGAUGAUGAUGACGAUGAUGAUGAUGAUGAUGAUGUUGACCAUUUUCAUUUUCAUCAUCUUCAUGUAUA
rnacentral:miRNA from 1 species